GAUGAACGUUGACGGCGUGCCUGAGAUAUGCAAGUCGAGCGACCUCGCCUCUGGCGGGGAAGCGGCGGACGGCUGAGUAACACGUAGGGACCUACCUCUAUCUCAAGGAUAGCCAGCCGAAAGGUUGGGUAAUACUUGAUAGUCCCCGCAUAUUGCGGGGUAAAGGGAGUAACUUCUCGGAUAGAGACGGACCUGCGGCCUAUCAGGUAGUUGGUAGGGUAACGGCCUACCAAGCCAAUGACGGGUAGCUGGCCUGAGAGGGUGGUCAGCCAGAGGGGCACUGAGACACGGGCCCCACUCCUACGGGAGGCAGCAAUCAGGAAUAGUCGGCAAUGGGCGAAAGCCUGACCGCGCGACGCCGUGUGCGGGAAGAAGCUCGAAAGAGUGUAAACCGCUGUGGUAGGGGAAGAAGAUCUCCGAUUCGGAGAUUUGACGGUACCCUACUAGAAAGGGGCCGCUAACUGCGUGCCAGAAGCGUCGGUAAUACGUGGGCCCCAAACGUUAUCCGGUAUUACUGGGUGUAAAAGGUCGUGUAGGCGUCUUCUUAAGUUUUUGCUUAAAUCUCAUGGCUCAACCAUGAAAUUGGCAAAAAAACUGGGAAGAUAGAAUCUUCUCAAGGGAGACUGGAACUUAAGGAGGAGUAGUGAAAUGCGUUGAUACCUUAGGGAACACCAGUGGCGAAGGCGAGUCUCUGGGAGAAGAUUGACGCUGAGACACGAAAGCUAGGGGAGCGAAGCAGAUUAGAGACCUGCGUAGUCCUAGCCGUAAACGCGUGCUUGCUAGCUGCAUUUUUUCCUUCAAUUAUGAAGGAAAGGGUGUGGCGUAGGUAACCCGUUAAGCAAGCUACCUGGGGAGUACGGCCGCAAGGCUAAAACUCAAAGGAAUUGGCGGGGAGGCACACAACCAGUGGAACAUGUGGUUCAAUUCGAAACGAACCGAAGAACCUCACCAGGGCUUGACAUCCCAGCGUCCUAGUCUACCGAAAGGUAGAUAAUUCGCAAGAAGGCUGGGACAGGUGCUGCAUGGCUGUCGUCAGCUCGUUCCGUGAGGAGUGCCCUUAAGUGGGACAACGAGCGCAACCCCUGUCUGCAGUUAAAUCUGUCUGCAGAGACUGCUCUCCGAUUCGGGGGGAGGAAGGAGGGGCAGACGUCAAGUCAGCAUGGUCCUUAUGCCCUGGGCCACACACAUGUUACAAUGGGUAAGACAGCGGGCUUAGCAAGCUGGCAACAGCAAGCAAAUCCCUCAAACUUACCCUCAGUGGGGAUUGAGGUCUGCAACUCGACCUCAUGAACGCGGAAUUGGUAGUAAUCGCGGAUCAGUCAUGCCGCGGUGAAUACGUUCUUGCCUCUUGCACACACCGCCCGUCAAGCCAACAAAGUCGGGAAUAUUUGAA
rnacentral:rRNA from 1 species